CAAAUCCAACGUCUCUCUUCGAGACACCGUUGAAACAGUGUGUGAGUGACCGAGGGUAGUUGGUGGUGGUGUGGUGUGAGGUGGUGCUGGUGGUGGUGGUGGGCGGGUGCGCAAGCGCUCGUGCCAACACCGCCACACCACAUCAUUGACCAUCAUCAUCAUCACCCUUGGCGCUUUCUACAAACUAGAAACCGUUGAUCAUCAGUACAUGCUCGUAACAAAGCAA
rnacentral:misc_RNA from 1 species